CUAUAGAAGACGGACUAUUUUUCGGAUGUGAAUUUGGACAUGAACACAGCAAUGCAAGUAACAACAUAUUAUAGAAGCACCAUCUGUGCCAGUGUCUUCAGCUUGCUCAAUGUGGGCAAGAAUCGCGGCUGAACGUGUCUCYUUUUUUCUGUGAAGAAAAUGAUCAAGAAAGUUGAACAUAAUGAUUUCAUGCCAUGAUUAUCUCAAAUAACCA